rnacentral:misc_RNA from 1 species
GAAAUGCGAUAAGUAAUGUGAAUUGCAGAAUUCAGUGAAUCAUCGAAUCUUUGAACGCACCUUGCGCUCCUUGGCAUUCCUUGGAGCAUGCCUGUUUGAGUAUCAUGAAAUCUUCAAAGUAAAUCUUUUGUUAACUCAAUUGGUUUCUACUUUGGUAUUGGAGGUCUUUGCAGCUUCACACCUGCUCCUCUUUGUUCAUUAGCUGGAUCUCAGUGUUAUGCUUGGUUCCACUCGGCGUGAUAAGUUAUCUAUCGCUGAGGACACUGUAAAAGGUGGCCAAGGUAAAUGCAGAUGAACCGCUUCUAAUAGUCCAUUGACUUGGACAAUACUUUUAUGAUCUGAUCUCAAAUCAGGUAGGACUACCCGCUGAACUUAAGC